AGCAGCCGCGGUAAUUCCAGCUCCAAUAGCGUAUAUUAAAGUUGUUGCAGUUAAAAAGCUCGUAGUUGAAUUUCGGGAUCCUACCGCCGGUCGGGCUACCAAGUCUGUACUGGCGUGUAGAAUUUCUACCUUCUGGGGAACCCAUCAUGUUAUUAAUUUAGCGUGGUGGGAAACCAGGACCUUUACCUUGAAAAAAUUAGAGUGUUCAAAGCAGGCUUAUGUCUGAAUACAUUAGCAUGGAAUAAUAGAAUAGGACGGUGGUCCUGUUUUGUUGGUUUCUGAAUCACCGUAAUGAUUAAUAGGGAUAGUUGGGGGCAUUAGUAUUCAAUUGUCAGAGGUGAAAUUCUUGGAUUUAUUGAAGACUAACUACUGCGAAAGCAUUUGCCAAGGAUGUUUUCAUUAAUCAAGAACGAAAGUUAGGGGAUCGAAGACGAUCAGAUACCGUCGUAGUCUUAACCAUAAACUAUGCCGACUAGGGAUCGGAUGAUGUUAAUUUUUUAAUGAAUCA
rnacentral:rRNA from 1 species